CGGACGGGUGAGUAACGCGUGAGAAUCUACCUUCAGGUCGGGGAUAACCCCUGGAAACGGGGGCUAAUACCGGAUAGGUCGAAAGAUGAAAGGUUAACUGCCUGAAGAGGGGCUCGCGUCUGAUUAGCUAGUAGGUGUGGUAAGAGCGCACCUAGGCGACGAUCAGUAGCUGGUCUGAGAGGAUGAGCAGCCACACUGGGACUGAGACACGGCCCAGACUCCUACGGGAGGCAGCAGUGGGGAAUUUUCCGCAAUGGGCGAAAGCCUGACGGAGCAAGACCGCGUGGGGGAGGAAGGCCUUUGGGUUGUAAACCCCUUUUGUUAGGGAAGAAAAAAAUGACGGUACCUAACGAAUCAGCCUCGGCUAACUCCGUGCCAGCAGCCGCGGUAAUACGGAGGAGGCAAGCGUUAUCCGGAAUUAUUGGGCGUAAAGCGUCCGUAGGUGGCCCGGCAAGUCUGCUGUCAAAGACCACAGCUCAACUGUGGAAAGGCAGUGGAAACUGCAAGGCUAGAGUGCGGUAGGGGUAGAGGGAAUUCCCAGUGUAGCGGUGAAAUGCGUAGAGAUUGGGAAGAACACCGGUGGCGAAAGCGCUCUACUGGGCCGCAACUGACACUGAUGGACGAAAGCUAGGGGAGCGAAUGGGAUUAGAUACCCCAGUAGUCCUAGCUGUAAACGAUGGAAACUAGGUGUAGCACGUAUCGACCCGUGCUGUAUCGGAGCUAACGCGUUAAGUUUCCCGCCUGGGGAGUAC
rnacentral:rRNA from 1 species